rnacentral:rRNA from 1 species
GUGGGGAAUAUUGCACAAUGGGCGCAAGCCUGAUGCAGCGACGCCGCGUGAGGGAUGACGGCCUUCGGGUUGUAAACCUCUUUCACCCAUGACGAAGCGGGAGUGACGGUAGUGGGAGAAGAAGCGCCGGCCAACUACGUGCCAGCAGCCGCGGUAAGACGUAGGGCGCGAGCGUUGUCCGGAUUUAUUGGGCGUAAAGAGCUCGUAGGCGGCUUGUCGCGUCGACUGUGAAAACCCGCGGCUCAACUGCGGGCCUGCAGCCGAUACGGGCAGGCUAGAGUUCGGUAGGGGAGACUGGAAUUCCUGGUGUAGCGGUGAAAUGCGCAGAUAUCAGGAGGAACACCGGUGGCGAAGGCGGGUCUCUGGGCCGAUACUGACGCUGAGGAGCGAAAGCGUGGGGAGCGAACAGGAUUAGAAACCCCAGUAGUCC